GGAGUACGACCGCAAAGGGUUGAAACUCAAAAGGAAUUUGACGGGGGCCCGCACAAAGCGGAAGGAACAUGUGGUUUAAUUCGAUGAUACGCGAGGAACCUUACCCGGGCUUGAACUGCAGGAGAACGAUUCAGAGAUGAUGAGGCCCUUCGGGGCUCCUGUGGAGGUGCUGCAUGGUUGUCGUCAGCUCGUGCCGUGAGGUGUCGGCUUAAGUGCCAUAACGAGCGCAACCCCUGCGACUAGUUGCCAUCAGGUUAAGCUGGGCACUCUGGUUGGACUGCCACCGUAAGGUGUGAGGAAGGUGGGGAUGACGUCAAAUCAGCACGGCCCUUACGUCCGGGGCUACACACGUGUUACAAUGGGAGGUACAGAGAGAUGGUGUUCCGCAAGGCGCAUCUAAUCCUAAAAGCCUUCCUCAGUUCGGAUUGGGGUCUGCAACCCGACCCCAUGAAGCUGGAUUCGCUAGUAAUCGCGCAUCAGCCAUGGCGCGGUGAAUACGUUCCCGGGCCUUGUACACACCGCCCGUCAAGCCAUGAAAGCCGGGGGCGCUUGAAGUCCGUGACCGCAAGGAUCGGCCUAGAGCGAAACUGGUAAUUGGGGCU
rnacentral:rRNA from 1 species